rnacentral:misc_RNA from 1 species
UCCUUUUUGCUGGCUGCUGGACAAACUAAAAAAAAAAAACUCUAGUAGCCUAGCUUUAUAUCCAGCGCCUUGCCUCAUUGGGGUGUGCCUCGAUGCACCUCGUGCCACGAUGCGCCUCGUGCCACGGUGCGCCUCGAUGAGGUGGUGCGCCUUGGCUGUCCCGAGGCGCCUGGGGUUGCGUCUGGCGCGCCUCAGGUGCGCAUUUGAUAACAGUGGUGUCAACACGAUAACCCAACUUGUGGCAGAUUACAUUGAUCAUGAAGUAAAAUAGGCAAGUGAUCAAGUUGCCUAAGUUCUAGUUCUCUUAGAAACUAGCAAGAACAAGCUCAAAUACUCUCUCUAAUGGAAGCUCUCAUGUUCGGCAGAAAUGGAUUGAAGAAAGAAGAUGAUGUUUUCUUCCUUUUAUACCUAGGGCGAAAACAUAAGCUUAAAAUGUCAAGACAAGGUCUGCACAUAAUUAUGCCAUAUUGGCAACUCUAAACAAGAAUAGUAAGUGCAUUAAUUACAAAGACAAAAGAUGGCAACAACAUUAAUUACAAAGACAGAAGGUGGCAGUAGCUUGUUAUUCUUUGUGGCAGAAAAUGGGGCCCACAAUGUCAAUAGGUGACCUCCUUUACACCAUGGCCGAAUGGCAUAAAGACACUUGGCAUAAAGGAAGCUCUUCCAAAUUCAAAUGGUCCAAUUAUGGCACUCUAUGUGGCGUGAGCUAUGGGGACUUCAAGGUGGUUGCCACAUGUGCUCCAUGGCUGCGUGAGGAAUGUCCACUGUGGCUGGUGACAUGGCUGGUGACUUGGCAGUGGUGGCUGGUGAUGUGGCAGUGGUGGCUCCAACCUAGCACGUGGUAAUUCACUUGGAUUCUUGGAGCAAACAAGCUAGGCCUUCCUUAUGCAACUCCACUCCUAAGCCGAAAGCCCUUUUAUGGUCCAUGAGCAUGUUUUGAAGUUGUUUGGCUCUUGUCUUAGUGAUUGCCCCUUUGAAGGGUGAUGGUGCUCCAUGGUGAUCCUCAUCAAAUACUCAUAUGAGGCCUCAAAUGGGAUCAUUUUAAUGGCAGGUUGUAUUGUGCCACCAUUCUGCUAAGGACAACCAUUUAAUCCAGGAGGUGGGUGAAGGAGUGGAAGCAUGAAAAACAUAAGUUUAGAUCAUUGAAUUCAAAAUUUUUUUAUUUAGGAUCACAUGCAUCAUGCAAGAUUCAUUUUUAUCUAUUUGAUUUCAAUG